GGUUCCUGCGUUUACUUCCCAUAAAACCGUCAACCGUGUCGCACCACAGAAACAAGAUGUUCUCUCUCUACUUCUGCCUCUUUACCUUGGUGGCUGUGCAUGCACGGCCUGAAACACGCCAGGUGAUUCAUGAUGUACCGUCGUGCACACCCGGAGAAGACUGGAAGGAAGACUGCAAUAGUUGCUCCUGCACUGGCAAUGGUGUGCCAAUAUGUACCCUUAUGGCAUGUUCCGUUCCCAAGGUCGAAAAGAGACAGGUGAUCAGAAACGACCGAACAGCCUGCACCCCCGGUGACGACUGGAAUGAUGGUUGUAAUGACUGUUUUUGUACUGAAACGGGGCUCCCAGCGUGCACCAAGAAGUCAUGCAAUGAAGUUUGAGAUAGCUGCAAGUGCCAUCUCUCGAUGAUAAGUGGAAUGUUCCAGAGGAAAUUUUAGAGAAUGUUUUACAUGUUAUGUUCAUCUCUACUUGAAUAAACGAGUGUCUACAAUA